AUGAGCUGGUCCUUUAAAGAUCUCAGAAUGCAACUUGAGCAUCAACAAUUUAGGUUUGUCCAUGAUUGUGAAAUCAGAUGCGUCGUCGCUACUGUUGUUGUCAGUUCGCCCAGGUCAUUUAUGCUUUCUUUAGUUGUCAUCCCGUUGUUGUCUAGCCAUCCGUUGUGUGGAAGCAUCCUGUACGCAGAUCGUGAUAUGAACUUUUUCUCGGCGCCAGUGGUCCUCGCUCUCGUUGAGCCGCACGACGACAAUCAACCUUUUCACCGCAGCCAACUGAAGUGUGGGCGCCAGUGGUCCUCGGCCUUGUUGAGCCUAGGCCGAAGGUGA
rnacentral:rRNA from 1 species